UUUUUUUUUGAAAUAAACUCAACUAAAAAUAUAAAAUAAUUAAGUUUCGAACUUGAGAUUUUAGAUAUUAACCAUUAAAUCCGUAGCAGAUUGCAAUAGGUAUGAUUUUUUUUAAGGUAAUAAAAGGGUAAACUUUAAAUAUCAUUCCUGUCGUUUUGCACUUUCUCACUUUAAUACCAUGUGAUUUAAAGUGUAUCAAUUUAGUACCCUGUAGUUUUAUUUUCUCUUUUCAUUAGCCCCGUAGUUAACUUUCGUUAAAUUAUAUACUGUUGGCGAAUAUAUUCUUAGAGGUUAGCUACAAGAUAAAUUAAAAAGUGUCAACGAGUCGAUCAAGCCGAGGCACGAAUAUCUCGCUCUCUUUAAGGAGAUUCAAGCCCUCUGCAGUUGGCAAAGUCUUUGAACCGAUGCAGCAGAGCACUGACUUGUCCCCUCCAUGAUACAACGGCUCGACCCUCGUCGUGUGGCUUCACCAACUCUACACAAGUAAUGAGCCCAAAGCUCCACCAAAAGAAAUACCUUUCUUUGACAUUCUCUCUCUCAAGUAUAAUUAAAAUACUUUUAUUGUUUGUUGAGUUGUGUGUAAGUAAAUAAAGAAGCCUCUAUAUAUAGCUAGGCUCAAAGCAUAGGAGUUACAAGAAUUAAAUAGCUUGGAGUUAUAGGAAUCAAAAUACGUGCAUAGGUUAGGUUUCAAAUAUAAGUUCACAAUGAAUGCAAACUAAAUGAAUGAAGUGGUAACUUCACAUGUACAAAUAUAAAUGCAAGUAUAGGUUAUGCAUAAGUUAAUAGAAAUCAUAUUAAUAAUAAAAUGUAACAACAUAUACAAAAAAACUUCAGAUACUCCAUCUAUGGUUAUCGAAUAUUCACUUUACUACCUUUUAAUUUUAACUUUGUCACUGAUUUAACAAAAAAAAUUAGUGAAAGAGAAAACAGAAAGACAAAAAUGAACCACAAUGUACGAAAGUAAUACAUUUUAAAUCACAUAAUACUAAACUGAGAAAAUGCGAAACCACUAGAGUGUUUUUUAAAGUUUUCUCAAAUAAAAAUAAGCUCU
rnacentral:lncRNA from 1 species